rnacentral:rRNA from 1 species
UACGGGGGGGGGCAAGCGUUGUUCGGAAUUACUGGGCGUAAAGGGCUCGUAGGCGGCCAACUAAGUCAGACGUGAAAUCCCUCGGCUUAACCGGGGAACUGCGUCUGAUACUGGAUGGCUUGAGGUUGGGAGAGGGAUGCGGAAUUCCAGGUGUAGCGGUGAAAUGCGUAGAUAUCUGGAGGAACACCGGUGGCGAAGGCGGCAUCCUGGACCAAAUCUGACGCUGAGGAGCGAAAGCCAGGGGAGCAAACGGGG